rnacentral:lncRNA from 10 species
AGGUCCUCUCUACUCAAUACAAUUGUUUUUCUUUAUUAAUAAAAUGUUCAAGAUUAAAGCUCCCACUGAAGGAUCUGAUGUGAGGUUAAAUCAUUGGGGAAAAGUGGACAUGGCUGCAGAAAGAGAAAAUACAAAUUAUAUGGGAGAAAGAAUAGCAGGGCUUAGGGACGGUGGUAACCAUGACCAUAGGGAUGGAGCAGUGGAAAUUGUAACUGUUUGGAAUUUUUUCUAAGGCCUGAUGUCUGGGAGCUCGUCUAAUUCUGCCACUUUAAGGGUCUACUCUGCAGUCCUCAAAGUUCAGAUGAUUCUUCCCCAAACCAUCAAAGACAGCCCUGGCUGUCUCUGAGUUCUUAUGCCCAUGAGGAUGACCUAUGAAUCCCAGAAAGAUACAGAAUUGAGAAUCACCAGAGAACUCUGUUCCAGGAAUCAAGUGAUUAAAGUUACAGUUCCAGUGUCAUCACUAAAUAGCAAGGUGACCUUGGAUGCCUCAUUUUAUCAAAUCUCUCCAUUUUUCAACCUCUAAAAGUAGGAUAAUUUCACAGAUUUGUUAUAAGGAUGAAAAGAGAAAAUGGAUGGGAAAAGUUUGUGAAAGCCUUUGAGAUGUAGGACAAUAAAAAUGGGAAGAGAUCUGCUGGGAUGUUAUCUAGCCCAACCUUCCACCAGGGGCUCACUGAGACUCUGCAUGGAACUUUCACUAAUGGAAAAAUCACUCCCUCGCAGCAAGGUUUCAUUGUUGGCAGACACAAAAAGGACUUUCAAAAAUUAUUUUUAAAAUUUAAGAGAUAUUAUGUCUCUAGGAUGAUAUACAUGUUUCAAGUAGUAUUAAAAGCCACACUGAUGGAUAUGUAAUAAUAAAC